UUUUUUUUUUUUUUUUCAAAAUAAUAUAACAAGGUUGUUCUUCUGUUAAAACUUAAAACAUUCAAAAACUAAGAUGCCUACUCUUCCUUAACAGAUCAUGUCCAGUCAGAAAAGGGCAUGGAAGAUUGGUUAUGAACUGUAACAACUAUCAUGACAAAUGCGUUUCUUCCUCUAAUAUUAGAUAGAAACUCUCAACUUUAGUUCAAGCAAUCAAGAAAAAGUAUCAACUAUGAGAAGUUUGGCUUACCAUUAAACAUUCAUCUACACAAAUAUUAUUUUGAAAUAGUGACUAUAUGUAUAUCAAAAUAUCCGCAAUAUGCUUUUCAUUCCCCCACCACCCACUUUUAUGUUGAACUGGGACUUCAUUAAAAACAUACUGAAAAUCAUCACAAAAUAAUUGAAGCAAGAGCAACAAUUAAAAUUUCACAUGAACAACAUGCCCCACAAAUGAUAAGGAAUGAUCAAAAUAAUCCCUAGCAUAUGUCUCAGCUUCGUUGGCAUUGGGUAUUUGAUUGGACAGCAUAAUCUAAUAUCAAAUUAGAGAAACACUAGUUCGAAUCAUCACAUAAUUGAGGAAAACUUAAAUAGCUGAGCUGAACCUGAAGAGUGAAGAGUGACAGGUAUAUCAAGCAAGUAAAGAUUUUAG
rnacentral:misc_RNA from 1 species